GGGCUCAUAGUUCAGAUGGCUAGAACGCUGCAUUGUCAGUGCAGAGGUCAGGGGUUCAAGUCCCCUUGGAGCCGCCA
rnacentral:tRNA from 1 species